rnacentral:rRNA from 1 species
AGGGCACCACCAGGAGCGGAGCCUGCGGCUUAAUUUGACUCAACACGGGGAAACUUACCCGGCCUGGACACUGGAAGGAUUGACAGAUCGAGAGCUCUUUCUUGAUUCAGUGGGUGGUGGUGCAUGGCCGUUCUUAGUUGGUGGAGCGAUUUGUCUGGUUAAUUCCGAUAACGAACGAGACUCUAGCCUAUUAAAUAGGCUCUCGGCUUUUAAACGCCGGGAGGACUUCUUAGAGGGACAGGUGGCGGUUCAGCCGCACGAAAGAGAGCAAUAGCAGGUCUGUGAUGCCCUUUGUUGUCCGGGGCCGCACGCGCGCUACACUGAAGAGAUCAGCGUGCUUUACGUUCCUGCUCCGACCGGAGUGGGGAACCCAGUGAACCUUCUUCGUGAUUGGGAUAGAAGAUUGUAAUUAUUCUUCUUGAACGAGGAAUUCCCAGUAAAUGCGAGUCAUAAGCUCGCGUUGAUUACGUCCCUGCCCAUUGUACACACCGCCCGUCGCUACUACCGAUUGAACGAUUU